rnacentral:rRNA from 1 species
GAUGAACGCUGGCGGCGUGCCUAAUACAUGCCAGUCGAGCGAACAGACGAGGAGCUUGCUCCUCUGACGUUAGCGGCGGACGGGUGAGUAACACGUGGAUAACCUACCUAUAAGACUGGGAUAACUUCGGGAAACCGGAGCUAAUACCGGAUAAUAUAUUGAACCGCAUGGUUCAAUAGUGAAAGACGGUUUUGCUGUCACUUAUAGAUGGAUCCGCGCCGCAUUAGCUAGUUGGUAAGGUAACGGCUUACCAAGGCGACGAUGCGUAGCCGACCUGAGAGGGUGAUCGGCCACACUGGAACUGAGACACGGUCCAGACUCCUACGGGAGGCAGCAGUAGGGAAUCUUCCGCAAUGGGCGAAAGCCUGACGGAGCAACGCCGCGUGAGUGAUGAAGGUCUUCGGAUCGUAAAACUCUGUUAUUAGGGAAGAACAAAUGUGUAAGUAACUAUGCACGUCUUGACGGUACCUAUUCAGAAAGCCACGGCUAACUACGUG